ACAAGCGGUGGAGCAUGUGGUUAAUUCGACGCAACGCGAAAACCUUACCUGGGCUUGACAUGGAGACGAAUCUCCUGGAAACAGGAGAGUGCCUCGCAAGAGGAGCUCUCACACAGGUGCUGCAUGGCUGUCGUCGGCUCGUGCCGUGAGGUGUUGGGUUAAGUCCCGCAACGAGCGCAACCCCCAUCCCCAGUUGCCAUCAUUAAGUUGGGCACUCUGAGGAAACUGCCCGGGUUAACCGGGAGGAAGGCGGGAUGACGUCAAGUCCUCAUGGCCCUUAUGUCCAGGGCUACACACGUGCUACAAUGGCCGGUACAAAGAGUUGCGAUACCGCGAGGUGGAGCUAAUCUCAUAAAGCCGGUCUCAGUUCGGAUUGGAGUCUGCAACUCGACUCCAUGAAGUUGGAAUCGCUAGUAAUCGCGGAUCAGCAUGCCGCGGUGAAUACGUUCCCGGGCCUU
rnacentral:rRNA from 1 species